rnacentral:rRNA from 1 species
UUACGGUCAAAUCACGCUAAAAACACCGGUUCUCGUUCGAUCACCGAAGUUAAGCAUCGUAGAGCCAGGUCAGUACUUAGAUGGGGACCGCUUGGGAACACCUGGUACUGUAAG